UUUUUUUUUUUUUUGCUUUUUUAGGGCUGCACCUGCGGCAUACGGAAAAUCCCAGGCUAGGAGUCAAAGUGACGCUACAGCAGACUAGUCUCACACGGUGACUGGUAUAGAGCUUCAGCAUCCUGUCAAUGCCGAGAAUGAUGUCCCUCGUUCCCCAGUAAGAAUGUCAAUCAUAGCAAGGCCAAAACCACAAUGCACAGACAGGUGUACUCCCCCCCCAAAGAGCAUUUUAUAGCAAUCAAUCCUGGUGACUCAGUAAUUCCAGUCAAGUUAGUCAGCCAUAGAGAAUUAAAUACUGUUAUCCCAAACUCAAAGCAAGACAGAUCCAGAAGUCGAAAGAAAAAAGAAAGGCAAGCGACAGAAAGAGUUCACAGUAAGGGGUAUACAAAGCAUUUGAAAAGAUGCCCCACCUCCUUUUUAAGAGAAAUGCAAAUUUAGUUACAGUGAACCAUCAUUGUUCACCUGUCAGCGUUCAAGUUUGACAAGGUAGUUUUGGUAAAGGUGUGAGGAAAGAGGCUGGUAGGGCUUGGAACUAGGUUCAGCCUCACCAGGGGACAAUUUAGCUUUACAUACCCAAGUAACAAAUGCAAAAUCUGAGAACCAGCACUUAGAGCGGGAAAGUAUGUUCUAAGUUGCUCUCGGUCCUUGGGGAUAACGGGAAAUACUGUUCAUGUGAGACAGGUGUGGAGAUUUUCUACGAUGCGCUCUUUUGAACCUUUCACAUUUUGUUAGUUAAUGUAUUAACUAUUCAAAAACACACACAUAAUGAGACAGGUUGGGCGGUGGGGGGAUGCACUGAGGGUUUGGGAUGGAAUGCUGUAAAAUUUGGAUGUGAUUAUUGUUGUACACCUAUAAAUCCAAUAAAAUUCACUAAUUCCACAAAUUUUUUAACGAAAAAACACACACACAAUUUUUAAAUUCGGAAAAGCUUUAAGCCUAAGGGGGGGAAUUUUUAAAAAACAAAGAUUGGUUAACGGCAGAAUUUCAGGUGUGAAGAUGAAACGGUUCUGGAAAUGGAUGGUGGUUAAUGGUGCACAAUAAUGCGAAUGUUUAAUGUCACUGCACUUUAUACUUAAAAGUGGUUAAAAUGGUCAAAUUUGUGUUAUACGUAUUUUACAACUAAUCUCAAGACAAGCACACAAGAGGAGCUCCCCUCUUGGCUCAGCAAUAACGAACCUGACUACCAUGAUGGGAACUCCUGUUAUCUUUCUUAAUAAAGGACAUAGACUAAUUGUAAAACUCAAAUGCAAUGUAACUUUAUCGACUUUGUGAAUUUAUAUGAAAAUACGACGCAGGCUAAAAAGAAAAACCCUUUGCCCUACAACAUAAACCUGAUUUUUCCCUCGAAAAAUGUGAUCUCAGUAAUGAUUACAUUCAGAAUGAAAUGGCUCAUUCCAAACCGUAAUUUACACUCUAAAUUAUACUAGGAAGUCCUAAUGAAACUGGCCUAGAUUAUCCAGAGUGAAUUUAUAUUUCAUCAAGAACUGAAUGGUUAAAAAUACAGUAAACAGAUGCAUGAAUAGAGAAUAAAGACACUAAUAAAACACAUACUAUAUUUUGUUGCAAAAUGUUCCAAAAAGAGUGUUAGAACUGCUAUUGUUACAGAUCUUGACAGAGAGUUAUUCUCCUUUGCUCAGAGAUAAUGGAGAAGCAAGAGUUAACAGAGAAAAAGCUAUUUGCCUUACACAUUCAUUUCUAGAAAGACAUCUAAAGAAACCGGCCUUGACUGAACACACAAGAAAACAAAAGGACAGUUUCCUUCUUUUUCUACACACACACACACACACACACACACACACACGUUCCCCAUUGGUCAAGAAUAAGUGACCCCUCCAUAACUGAAUCCUCUAUAUAACCAUCAGUUUUAGUUAAUAUUCUCAUUGUCUACUCCAACCAAAAUUAUAACUAUCUGUAUAUGCAUCUGUCUCCCUGACCACACGGAACAACUCUAAGGCAGGAGCUGUUUUAUUCAUUCACUCCCCAGUGCCUAGCCUCCUGUGGGGAUUUAAUCUUCGCUAAAUGAAAGAGAAUUUGUAUCCCAAAUGGCCUAUGGUCUUAUCAGGUAGAGAUGACAUCAAAUCUGAGCAACACAUGAAUUUCUUUGUUGAUAACUGCCUGCAGAUUCCUUCUUAUAACCC
ensembl:lncRNA